AGGGUUCGAUUAUGGCUCAGAAUGAACGCUGGCGGCACGCUUAACACAUGCAAGUCGAACGAGAUCUUCGGAUCUAGUGGCAGACGGGUGAGUAACGCGUGGGAACCUGCCCAGUAGUAGAGAAUAACUUGGGGAAACUUAAGCUAAUACUUUAUACGUCCUUCGGGAGAAAGCUUUAUGCGCUAUUGGAUGGGCCCGCGUUAGAUUAGUUUGUUGGUGAGGUAACGGCUCACCAAGGCGACGAUCUAUAGCUGGUCUGAGAGGAUGAUCAGCCACACUGGGACUGAGACACGGCCCAGACUCCUACGGGAGGCAGCAGUGGGGAAUAUUGGACAAUGGGGGCAACCCUGAUCCAGCGAUGCCGCGUGAGUGAUGAAGGCCCUAGGGUUGUAAAACUCUUUCGUCAGGGAAGAUAAUGACGGUACCUGAGGAAUAAGCCACGGCUAAUUCCGUGCCAGCCGCCGCGGUAAUAC
rnacentral:rRNA from 1 species